AAAAAGCAUACCUCCAAACUUUGCAAUGGGGCGAAUCUGGACCUGAAAUGUGGGUGUCUCCAGUGAUGCAAUUUGUGUCACGUCAAAAAUAAGCCACACAGAAAGCAGCCAGCCUCACCCACUGAAGAGGCAUGUGAGAGAAGUGCCAAACAUUCUAAGGUCACAAACAGCUUACCGACUGGCGCCCUGUACAGAGAUCCAUGCACAGAGUACUGCUUAAGCACUUUCUGCAUGGUCCUAGUGACCAGGGCACAGCAUAUGUGAGUCUGAUGAUGCCCUUGCAUCAGGACACCAGGGAACAAUAUUUGGACAGGACCCCGAAAUCGAGACUGUCCGCCAAAGAACAGUUGGUAGGCAUGCAGGAAGUGCCUCGUAGGAUGAGCAGGAACAGCAUUGCGUGAUGCAUAAUGUGCAACGGCUCAUGCAUUUUUGUUAUUAUUCACCAGAGGCUGAAUAGACUACAGAAGAAAGUGAGUACUUUGCAAAUAAUCCAUCAAUGGAAGCACAUCUGGUUCAUGGCGAUAUGAGCUAUGAAGCGCGCUUGCAUCACAGGGAGGUGGUGGAUUCCAGAUGCACGAGUAGCAGACUGCAAGCGGAGACUGUAAGCUAAGGCGCUGUGGACUUCAUGGAGCUUUUUCCUUAAAAUGCUGUUUGUUUUUUAUGAAGUAAGAGUUUUUUUUAUCUAUACUGUAUAAUAAAGUUUUUUGGUGGUAUCAUGCUAUUGGCUCUCUCCCUGCCUUUCUCUUUUAUGUGUUGUGGGAUAUACACUAAAGUAACGAUCAUUAAUGGGUUUUUAAGGGGUGUAUUUAUUUUCUUAGUUUUUUUUAGUAUUUCAGGCUCAUGUGUAUAUAUGUAAUAUACAAGGUCUAAGUAUUAAGAUCUUUUGAAUAACUUAUUAAGUGCAGC